ensembl:rRNA 5S_rRNA 5S ribosomal RNA
GUCUAGGCCACACCACCCUGAACGCGCCCGCUCGCCUCCGAUCUGUUGAAACUAAGCAGGGUCGGGCCUGGUUAGUACCUGGAUGGGAUUCCGCCUGGUAAUAGCGGGUACGGUAGGCU